AACGAACGCUGGCGGCAGGCCUAACACAUGCAAGUCGAGCGAAGCCUUCGGGCUUAGCGGCGGACGGGUGAGUAACGCGUGGGAACGUGCCCUUUGGUACGGAAUAGCCCCGGGAAACUGGGAGUAAUACCGUAUGUGGUCGAGAGACGAAAGAUUUAUCGCCAAAGGAUCGGCCCGCGUUGGAUUAGGUAGUUGGUGGGGUAAUGGCCUACCAAGCCGACGAUCCAUAGCUGGUUUGAGAGGAUGUUCAGCCACACUGGGACUGAGACACGGCCCAGACUCCUACGGGAGGCAGCAGUGGGGAAUCUUAGACAAUGGGGGAAACCCUGAUCUAGCCAUGCCGCGUGAUCGAUGAAGGCCUUAGGGUUGUAAAGAUCUUUCAGUGGGGAAGAUAAUGACUGUACCCACAGAGGAAGCCCCGGCUAACUCCGUGCCAGCAGCCGCAGUAACAC
rnacentral:rRNA from 1 species